GAUGAACGCUGGCGGCGUGCCUAAUACAUGCAAGUCGAGCGAACAGACGAGGAGCUUGCUCCUCUGACGUUAGCGGCGGACGGGUGAGUAACACGUGGAUAACCUACCUAUAAGACUGGGAUAACUUCGGGAAACCGGAGCUAAUACCGGAUAAUAUAUUGAACCGCAUGGUUCAAUAGUGAAAUACGGUUUUUCUGUCACUUAUAGAUUGAUCCGCGCCGCAUUAGCUAGUUGGUAAGGUAACGGCUUACCAAGGCGACGAUGCGUAGCCGACCUGAGAGGGUGAUCGGCCACACUGGAACUGAGACACGGUCCAGACUCCUACGGGAGGCAGCAGUAGGGAAUCUUCCGCAAUGGGCGAAAGCCUGACGGAGCAACGCCGCGUGAGUGAUGAAGGUCUUCGGAUCGUAAAACUCUGUUAUUAGGGAAGAACAAAUGUGUAAGUAACUAUGCACGUCUUGACGGUACCUAAUCAGAAAGCCACGGCUAACUACGUG
rnacentral:rRNA from 1 species